AGGGAGAUCCCCCACACUGGUACUGAGACACGGACCANACUCCUACGGGAGGCAGCAGUGAGGAAUAUUGGACAAUGGGCGCAAGCCUGAUCCANCCAUGCCGCGUGCNNGAUGACNGUCCUAUGGAUUGUAAACUGCUUUUAUACNAGAAGAAACNCUCCUACGUGNNNGAGCUUGACNGUAUCGUAAGAAUAAGGAUCGGCUAACUCCGUGCCANCAGCCGCGGUAAUACGGAGGAUCCAAGCGUUAUCCGGAAUCAUUGGNUUUANAGGGUCCGUAGGCGGUUUAAUAAGUCAGUGGUGAAAGCCCAUCNCUCANCGGUGGAACGGCCAUUGAUACUGUUAGACUUGAAUUAUUAGGAAGUAACUAGAAUAUGUAGUGUAGCGGUGAAAUGCUUAGAGAUUACAUGNAAUACCAAUUGCGAAGGCAGGUUACUACUAAUUGAUUGACNCUGAUGGACGAAAGCGUGGGUAGCGAACAGGAUUAGAUACCCUGGUA
rnacentral:rRNA from 1 species